UACGGAGGGGGCUAGCGUUGUUCGGAAUUACUGGGCGUAAAGCGCGUGUAGGCGGCCCACUAAGUCUGAUGUGAAGGCCCGGGGCUCACCCCCGGAAGUGCAUUGGAAACUGGUGGACUCGAGUCCCGGAGAGGAGAGUGGAAUUCCUGGUGUAGCGGUGAAAUGCGUAGAUAUCAGGAGGAACACCGGUGGCGAAGGCGGCUCUCUGGACGGUGACUGACGCUGAGACGCGAAAGCGUGGGGAGCAAACAGG
rnacentral:rRNA from 1 species